rnacentral:rRNA from 1 species
AUACGUAGGGGGCGAGCGUUGUCCGGAAUGAUUGGGCGUAAAGGGCGCGUAGGCGGCUUUGCAAGUCAGUAGUGGAAGUCCAUUUUUCAAGGAUGGAAGUGCUACAGAAACUGCGGAGCUUGAGGUCGGGAGAGGUUAUCGGAAUUCCCGGUGUAGCGGUGAAAUGCGUAGAGAUCGGGAGGAACACCAGUGGCGAAGGCGGGUAACUGGACUGCAACUGACGCUGAGGCGCGAAAGUGUGGGGAGCAAACAGGAUUAGAUACCCUGGUAGUCCACACUGUAAACGAUGAAUGCUAGGUGUAGGAGGUAUCGACCCCUUCUGUGCCGCAGUAAACACAGUAAGCAUUCCGCCUGGGGAGUACGGUCGCAAGAUUAAAACUCAAAGGAAUUGACGGGG